rnacentral:rRNA from 1 species
CCUACGGGUGGCAGCAGUGAGGAAUAUUGGUCAAUGGACGAGAGUCUGAACCAGCCAAGUAGCGUGAAGGAUGACUGCUCUAUGGGUUGUAAACUUCUUUUAUAAAGGAAUAAAACGAGGCACGUGUGCCUUUUUGCAUGUACUUUAUGAAGAAGGAUCGGCUAACUCCGUGCCAGCAGCCGCGGUAAUACGGAGGAUCCGAGCGUUAUCCGGAUUUAUUGGGUUUAAAGGGAGCGUAGAUGGGUUGUUAAGUCAGUUGUGAAAGUUUGCGGCUCAACCGUAAAAUUGCAAUUGAUACUGGCAGUCUUGAGUACAGUUGAGGUAGGCGGAAUUCGUUGUGUAGCGGUGAAAUGCUUAGAUAUCACGAAGAACCCCGAUUGCGAAGGCAGCUUACUAAACUGUGACUGACAUUGAUGCUCGAAAGUGUGGGUAGCAAACAGGAUUAGAUACCCUAGUAGUC